rnacentral:rRNA from 1 species
CAGCAGCCGCGGGAAUACGUAGGUGGCAAGCGUUAUCCGGAAUUAUUGGGCGUAAAGCGCGCGUAGGCGGUUUUUUAAGUCUGAUGUGAAAGCCCACGGCUCAACCGUGGAGGGUCAUUGGAAACUGGAAAACUUGAGUGCAGAAGAGGAAAGUGGAAUUCCAUGUGUAGCGGUGAAAUGCGCAGAGAUAUGGAGGAACACCAGUGGCGAAGGCGGCUUUCUGGUCUGCAACUGACGCUGAUGUGCGAAAGCGUGGGGAUCAAACAGGAUUAGAUACCCCAGUAGUCCCUGUCUCUUAUAC